UGAAAUUUAUCAUUAUGUGCUCUAAUUUAUAGCCAUAUUUGAAAAAAAGAGAAAAACAUAUUUUCCUUAGUUUACUGAUUUCCCACCUUCCUCUUUAUGCACUCCAUCCGUCCUAUUAUUAUUGGCCCUUUUGCAAUUUGUAGGUGUUCCAUUUUUUUUCAAAGUCAAAGUUUUAUGGCUAUCAAAAUUCCUGUUGUGUCCUUUAGAGGACAUUUUAAUAUACAAUGCAAGAAUGCAUAGCAGUUAAGAAACCUUAAGGGUUAAAAAAGAAUAGCAUACUUUUAAAUUCCUAUUGCAUCUAUGUUUAUUUUCCUUUCUUUACUGAUUUCUCCCCUGCCUUAUUGUGUACUCCAUCCUAUUGCUAUUGGCCCUUCUGCGAUUGCUAGUUGUCUUAUUUUACAAAACUAUUAAAAUUCCUAUUGCAUCCUUUAGCACCUUUUAAAUUUUUAAUACAAGAAUGCGUAGUAGUUAAGACACCUUACGGUUGAAAAAAGAAAUAGCAUGCUAAAGCCAACUCUAAUUAAUGGACUGUUGGUGCUUCCUUAAACCUUGUGUUUUUUUUGCAAAGGGGGCAAUGUUAAUGGGACAGAGGGCGUAGAAUUUUCAAAUGUUAAGGUUUGCUUUGUCAAGCUUAAGUGGCUGGGAAGGAACAUCCUUUAACAUGUUAAAAUGAUCCGACACCAACAUAUCCUUUAUGCUAAUCAAACUCGGUCCCUGAUAUAUCAUGAGAUUACUAAUCUGCUGCUAAUGUUAAGAACCAAGUCAGGAUGGGGGAGGGGAAGAUGGAUGAAUUUUGAAAGUAAUACCCCUGGUCUCUGCUUUCUUCUUCUUUUUUUUAAGCUCUUUCUUUCAUCUAUAGUUUCUUCAAUUUUGCUUUGGUCUGAAUUUUAGUGACCCUCGAAUUGCAAUUGAGAUCAAAGGCACGUCUAUGACUAUAUCUUUUGUUCUAUGCAAGAAAAGAGGAAGUUGAUAAUAUCUAUGACUAGAUAUUUUAUCUCCCUUUUGUAUCAUUUAUUCUUGAUACACUAUUUUGCAAGACAGAGCGCCACCUUUUUCUUGGUUUAUCGAAUUCAUCUAUUAUUAUAGUUUGAUAUUCAAUUUCAAGUAUACUUACAUUCUCUUAUUCACUUGGUAGAUAGUUGUCUCACUCAUAGUCCCUAAUAAAUCUUCAAUAAAUGUUCUUCUUUCCUGUAAGCUUUUUCCAAAUUAUUUCAACUCCAUUAAACAGACUCCUUUUAUGUGUUUUGUUUCUCACUUUCUUUCCACUCAACAAUAAUUCCUUGGUAGAAAUUGUAUGAUAGCAUGGAAAUCCAAUUAAGGUGUCUUGUGAAAUCCGGAUUAGGAGUGUGGUCUGCCUCUCUUAACCUUGAAUUUCUUUAUUUUUUUUGUCAAUUUUUUUACUGUCUACUCUUAAAUUUCGAUAAUCAUAUUUCUUUAUUCAUUACCUACUAUUGCAUGAAUAGUAAUUAACUUUUAGCAUAGCUAAUUGAUUGGUGCCCAGAAGCCCAAUACAAGUCAUUACAAAGUCAAGCACACAAUCGAUUUAGAGAAAUACCAUGGCAGAUUAAAACCCUAAACAAUCUCUGAUUUAUAAAAUAAGAACAAAAAAACAUAAAAAAGCUUGCUCACAGAACUCCAGCUGCUAAGAGAUCUUGAGAGACAACCUCAUUGCUGUAUCUCAAGAACCUUACAAGUAAGUUUUUUGUUUUUGAAUUUCUAUUUUGAGUCAUGAAGCUCAAUCCUAUGUGAAUUUGUUUGUUAUUCAUGGGUCAUGUCUGUAGUCUUUUUCUGGUUAGGAAUUGUUGAGAUUUCUUGUAUAGAUACAUGUGACAAUGGUAGAUCUUAGUCUCUGUCCCACAAAUGAAGCUAUGGUUUAAGAAAUUGGGGGGGGUUUUGUGGCUUAGAGCUCAAAAGAAUCUAGAGUCAAGUUCAGUAGUUGAAUUAUCCAGAGAUAGGAGAGCAGAGAAGGAUUAAUACAAUCAAGUAUUUGAUGGAAAAGACUGAGAGAAGGAAAGAUGAGUUAAAAAAAGAAGCAUUAUUAAAGAAAUAGAAUAAUUACAAAGAAUUCAGGAAGAAAUCAUAAUGCUCCAUAAUGAAUAGAUUUUAUCUUUGCUUCCUAUUUACACAAACACAAGUUUACCCCACGGGAACUGUUUAUCCCCUGAUUAUAACUGCUACCCAAACAAACUACGAACCCUCUUAACAAACACAUUAUAUUAUAGUUACAAGAACUGCAAUAACACAUGUAUCACUCCGAUGCAACCCCUUCCUGCCUUGCUAUGGAUCCUUGCUCAAUGUCAUCCUCCAUUCCUGACUCAGCACCUGUCGUAUGAAUCUUAGUAUCUCCCACAACUUCCUUGUCAUUUAUCCAAGUCCAGUGUUAUCCUCCGUUCCUGACUCAGCACAUGUCAUAUGAAUCUUAGCAUCUCCUCCUUCGAGCUGGAAAUUCUUGUGACAAAACACUUCAUUAUCUGGUGGCUGUCUUCUUAGAAUUACAAGGCACGUUUGCAAUGUGUCUGGGCCCCUCUUUCAACAUCAUGAUUCAUAAUAUCUGCAAAGUUAUGUUCAAGGAUGAAAUAUUCACUAGCAUCCAAAUAGGUUGCAAUUUGGUCCAGAAUUCUUCGACUGACUUACAAACGUUAAAAAUUUUAUCCUCAAACAACACAUUACCUAUAGGCGCUUUCACAAACCCAUCUCUUUUCUGCGUGUGUCGUGAUCAAUGAGUUUUGGCAAGCCACAGCUCCUCUCUUCAACCCUUGCUGCUGGUACAUAGAUCUCUAGUAAGAUUAUUUUGAUCUAUUACUAGAAACAUUCAUGCCCAAAUUUUACAUUUGGGUAGAUGCGAAUGUGAGUUUGACAGUACUAUGGCAUGGUAGAUGCUUCAUGCAUGCUCUGCAACUGCAUUAAGUUGCAGUGGCAUAUGGGAUUAAAUCAGAGUAAGUGGCUUUCAUUCUUUGAAUCGACUUAAGCUGCUUUAAGGGCUUUUGUUUGGCACGGAUCAUGUGGUUGCAGCAUUUAUUUUAAUGCAGAUCACUCUUUUAGUUAAACUUUGUACAUGUAUUACUUGUUUCUGUGGUCUGAAGCAGUUUUCGUUUUUAAUUUGAUAGGGGAAUGGGCAGACAUAGAUGGUUUCUCCCUGCUACUGGAGUACUGGCCACCAUUAUCCAAUUGAAACCCGAAACUCUCACUGCAUCUAUUAUAAACGAUGCUAUCAUAAUCAUGGCUGUUGUUGCUGUGCUCAUCCAUGUUGUAUGCAGUGCAUUUGAAGAAAUGCUUGAAGCUGGUCGCUUCAAAUCAAUUGCUGCUGGCACCGGUCGUCUGGCCAGAGCUCUCGCCAUUACUCUACUACUCAUAAUCUGCGUCCCAAAAAUUUGGUGGUUUCUUCUUUCCGCAUGGGUGUUGUUCUUUAUAUGGGUAACAUAUACUUUACGUGAGGAAUUGUUACAAUUGUGUGAAUCACUAUACAAUGCAGUCAGUUCGCCAAGCCCAAGCCCAAGAGCUGAAUGAGUUGCCAGUGUAACCUUACCGAGCGCCAAGGCCAAGCCCAAGAGCUGAAUGAGUUGCCAGUGUAACCUUACCGAGCGCCAAGGCCAAGCCCAAUAACUAAUCAAUUUUAAUAUAGAUAAUUGUUUCCAAUAGAAUGCUACCAAAAAAAAUUGUUAAGGAAAGAGGAGAUUAAAACCUUGAACAAAAUUUAGAAGCCCAAAAAAUGCAUCACAACUUUCUCUGACGAGCCCAUUUCAAACAGCCCAUUACCUUUACAAAGUCCUCAAUUCAAAGAGGAGAUUAAAGUCUUGAUCAAAUCUAACAAAAUAAAUAAAAAUACCGGUACGUGUCAUAAUCCUAAACGGAGUAGAGGGAGGACCUCAUUGCUGUGUCUGAAGAGAGCCUCGAUUGCAUAGAAAUAAGUAAGUUUUUUUGUUUUUCUAUUUUGCAAUCAUGAAGCUCAAUUAAUAUGUAAAUUUGUUUGGGAUCUGGUUUGGUUUGUAGUCUAUGUCUGGCAGAUAUAUGUGUCAAUAGCAGAUUUCCAUCCCUUAGAGCUCAAAAGAAUCUAGAUUUUGUUAAUUAAGUUCAUUGUUUGAACUAUCCAGAACCUGAACAGCUCUGUUUCUUUCUGUCCAUUUUUAUAGGUGGGUAAGUGUGAUAAUUGUCCGUAGAUCAAGCUUUCCCCAGUAAACAAUUCCAUAGGUGUCCCUCUCAAAAUUAUGUGUUUUUGUUUCACUCUCUUUCUGUCAAUUUUUAUAGGUGGGUAAGUGUGAUAAUUGUCUGUAGAUCAAGCUUUCCCCAGUAAACAAUUCCACAGGUGUUCCUCUCAAAAUUAUUCAGAUGGGAAGCUUCUAUGUUUGUUUACCAAGAGGUUUUAUUAUUAUUAUUAGUUUGAUUUUUUUUUUCUUAUUUAAUAUUUUAAAAAUUUCUUAUAGGUAUCCCUCUCUAAAUUAUUCAGAUGGGAAGCUUCCCUGAACAGAAAUUUUGCUAUACAGUUUGUAAAUCAGUCUGAUGGAAUAUGUAAGGUUUUUUGGUGUAGUGUUUGAAGAAAAGACUGAAAGAGCAGGAAAGAAAUAUAAAAAAGAAGCUUUAUUAAAGAAAUAGAACAAUUACAUAGAAUUAAGUAAGAAAUCAUAAUGCUCCAGAAUGACAAGAAUUUUAUUUUUGCUUUCUAUUUACACAAACACAAGUUCACCCACAUGAACUAACUGUUUAUCUCCUGAUAUGCCCUCCUCAAGAAUUUUUUAUUGGUGACAAUACCUCACCAAUUCCAAGAGUUUAUAUCUAGCUUUCAAAGGCUUACAAGAGUGAUUUUUGCUAUCACAAUUUACUUUCUAAAUAGAGUGAAUAAUACAAUUGAAAAUCUAGAAUUAAGUUUAUUAGUUGAGUUCAUUAGUUGAACUAUCUAGAGAGAGAUAGAAGAUCAGAGAAGGAUUGAUACAAUCAGAAUAUGUGAGGUAGGUGAAGUGCUUGAAGAAAAAACUGAGAGAAGGAAAGAUGAGAUCUAAAAAAGCUUUUUUUAAAGAAAUAUAAUAAUUACAAAGAAUUCAAAAAGAAAUCAUAAUGCUACAGAAUGAAAAGAAUUUUUUGUUUGUUUCCCAUUCUACAUGUUUGUUUGGCAUUGAGGUUAAACCUGUUUUUUGUUAAAAUUUGAAAUUUAUUUGCUUCAAAUUAAUUUUUUUUAGUAUUUUUAGGUUAUUUUAAUGUGCUGAUGUUAAAAAUAAAUUUUAAAAAAUAUAAAAUAAAUAUUAUUUUAAUACAUUUUCAAGCAUAAAAUACUUUAAAUAAUAAUUUUUACCGCAUUCUCAAACACAUUGUACACAAACACAUGUUCACCUACUUGAACUAACUGUUUAUCUCUGCUGCCCAAACAAACUACUAACCCCCGUAACAAACAUUUUAUAAGAACUGCUAUGACAUAUAUGACUAGGAUGCAACCCCUUCGCUCCUUGUUAUUGAUGCUUGUCCAAUGUUAUCCCCCAUUCCUGACUCGACACCUGUCAUAUGAAUCUUAGCAUCUCCUGCAAGCUUGUCCUUGUCAUUGAUUCUGGUCCGGUGUUAUCCUCCAUUCCUGACUCAGCACCUGUCAUAUGAAUCUUAGCAUCUCCUCCUUGGAGCUGGAAAUUCUUGUGACAAAACACAGCAUAUCUGGUUGCUGUCCUCUUAGAAUUAUAAGGCACGUUUGCAAUGUGUCUGGCAACGUAAUUCAUAAUAUCUGCAGAGUUAUGUUCAAGGAUGAAAUAUUCACUAACAUCCAAACAGGUUGCAAUUUGGUCAAGAAUUCCUUAAAUGACUUACAAACGGUAAGAAUUUUACCCUUAAACAACCCAUUGCCUUUAGGCGCUUUCACAAACCCUUCUCUUUUCUGCUUCUUGUGUCAUGAUCAAUGAGUGUUGGCAAACCACAGCUCCUCUCUUCAACCCUUGCAGCUGCUACAUAGAUCUCUUGUAAGAUUAUUUUGAUUUUUUACUGGAAACAAUAAUGCCCAAAUUUUACAUCCAAACAGGUUGCAUGGUGAAGGGUUCCAGUCCCACCCCUCCCUUCCUCACUUCCCCCUUCCCUUUUCAAAACAAACACUGCAAGUAGUUGCAGCAUUUAUUUUCAUGUCGAUCACUCUUUUAGUUUAAAUUUGUACAUGUAUUACUUGUUUUUGUGGUCUGAAGCAGUUUUCGUUUUUAAUUUGAUAGGGGAAUGGGCAGACAUAGAUGGUUUCUCCCUGUUACUGGAGUACUGGCCACCAUUAUCCAAUUGAAACCCGAAACUCUCACUCCAUCUAUUAUAAACGAUGCUAUCAUAAUCAUGGCUGUUGUUGCUGUGCUCAUCCAUGUUGUAUGCAGUGCAUUUGAAGAAAUGCUUGAAGCUGGUCACUUCAAAUCAAUUGCUGCUGGCUCCGGUCGUCUGGCCAGAGCUCUCGCCAUUACUCUACUACUCAUAAUCUGCGUCCCAAAAAUUUGGUGGUUUCUUCUUUCUGCAUGGGUGUUGUUCUUUAUAUGGGAAGCAUAUACUUUACGUGAGGAAUUGUCACAAUUGUGUGAAUUGCUAUACAAUGCAGUUCGCCGAGGCCAUGCCCAAGAGCUGAAUGAGUUGCCAGUGUAACCUUACCGAGCGCCAAGGCCAAGCCCAAGAGCAGAAUGAGUUGUCAGUGUAACCUUACCGAGCCAUUGAAGAGAAUCUUUUGAGAGUUUCUCACUGGUCAAUGUCUAUAUCUAUGUACGGUUGGUGUAAGACUGUGUAAUUGAAAUUUCUAUGUAUAAUUGCUUGGUGUGAUUGAAAUUACGAACGC
rnacentral:lncRNA from 1 species